GAUGAACGCUAGCGGCAGGCUUAACACAUGCAAGUCGAGGGGCAGCGCGGGAUAGCAAUAUCCUGGCGGCGACCGGCGGAAGGGUGCGUAACGCGUGAGCGACAUGCCCGUUGCCCGGGGACAACCGGUGGAAACGCCGACUAAUCCCCGAUGGGAUAUUGUGCCGCAUGGCACGAUAUUGAAAGUUACGGCGGCGACGGAUUGGCUCGCGUCCGAUUAGCUGGUUGGCGGGGUAACGGCCCACCAAGGCUGCGAUCGGUAGGGGUUCUGAGAGGAAGGCCCCCCACAAUGGGACUGAGACACGGCCCAGACUCCUACGGGAGGCAGCAGUGAGGAAUAUUGGUCAAUGGGCGGAAGCCUGAACCAGCCAUGCCGCGUGCGGGAAGGAGGCCCUAUGGGCUGUGAACCGCUUUUGCCUGGGGGCAAUAAGGGCGUCGCGCACGUCCGAUGAGAGUACCAGGCGAAUAAGCAUCGGCUAACUCCGUG
rnacentral:rRNA from 1 species